rnacentral:tRNA from 1 species
GGAGGGAUGCCCGAGUGGUUAAAGGGGACGGACUGUAAAUCCGUUGGCUAUGCCUACGCUGGUUCAAAUCCAGCUCCCUCCA